ensembl:ncRNA F49E10.8 ncRNA
GAUUCACACCUCGUGUUGGGUUUUUUAUUCUUUAGUGCACAUCGCGUGUAUUGACACAUUACCGACUACCAGUGUCCACUCUGAGUGCGCUACACCUGUUUGCAAAGAGGUUUACAAACUGUAACAUGAAGCGCUCCAACACCCUUCGGACACUCUUCACGGCCAUUUGAGCCAAUUUAGGUGUUUUUGCGAUGAAACACUUGAGAACAGACUUUUUUAGGUCU